rnacentral:snoRNA from 1 species
AAUUUCUGUGAAUACUUCUGAAUUUCAAGCUCAAUGAACCGGAUUGCAUGUCUAUCUCUCUUGAGAUUAUUUCCAUUUUGACUACCCUGCUGAACUGAGUGAAC